AUGGCAUUCCGACGCCCUUCGUGCGUAGUAGCAGGGGCUCUUCUCGCCGUCUCCUUCCUCGCCGCCACAGCAACCGCCGGUGACCACGGCCUGACGGUCUUCUGGGGCCGGAACAAGGACGAGGGCUCCCUCAGGGAGGCCUGCGACACCGGCAUCUACAACACCGUCAUCAUCUCCUUUUACAGCGUCUUCGGCCACGGCAGGUACUGGGGCGACCUCUCCGGCCACCCGCUCUACGGCAUCGGCGCCGACAUCAAGCACUGCCGGGGCAAGGGCAUCGUCGUCCUCCUCUCCAUCGGCGGCGGCGGCACCCAGUACUCGCUGCCGUCCUCGCAGUCCGCGGCCGACGUCGCCGACAACCUGUGGAACGCGCACCUCGGUGGCGGCCGACCUGGCGUGUUCCGCCCGUUCGGCGACGCCGUGGUCGACGGCAUCGACUUCUUCAUCGACCAGGGCGCGCCGGACCACUACGACGAGCUGGCCAGGCGUCUGUCCGGCUACAACCGGUACUACCGCGGCGCGCCCGGGGUGCGGCUGACGGCGACGCCGCGGUGCGUGUACCCGGACUGGCACGUCCAGAGGGCGCUGGACACGGGGCUGUUCGAGCGGAUCCACGUCAGGUUCUACGGCGACGACCGGUGCUCCUACAACCACGUGCACAAAGACGGGGUGAUGGCGCAGUGGAGCAAGUGGACGGCGAGGUACCCCGGGAGCAAGGUGUACAUCGGGCUGGCGGCGGCGAACUUGCCGGGGAGGAACGACAAGGUCGGCCUUGGGUCCAUGCAAUAUGACCUCAUGCCGAGCGUGAAGCAGGCGGCAAACUACGGCGGGGUCAUGCUCUGGGACAGGUACUACGACAAGCAGACCGGAUACGGCCGCGAACUCUACAACGGCGGCAUCAACUAA
rnacentral:rRNA from 1 species